rnacentral:sRNA from 1 species
CAGUGAAAUUCAUCUUCGCGGAUGAGUGAAAUACCGCUUCGCGGUGUAAAAUACGCUUACGGCGUGUGAAAUCGCU